rnacentral:rRNA from 1 species
CGCGUAGGCGGCUGACUAAGCCGCGUGUGAAAGCCCGGGGCUCAACCCCGGAACGGCACGCGGGACUGGUCGGCUGGAGCAUGGUAGAGGCGAGUGGAAUUCCUGGUGUAGCGGUGGAAUGCGUAGAGAUCAGGAAGAACACCGGUGGCGAAGGCGGCUCGCUGGGCCAUUGCUGACGCUGAGGCGCGAAAGCGUGGGGAGCAAACAGGAUUAGAUACCCUGGUAGUCCACGCCGUAAACGAUGGGCACUAGGCGUCGGGGGGAGCGACCCUCCCGGUGCCGUCGCUAACGCAAUGAGUGCCCCGCCUGGGGGAGUACGGCCGCAAGGUUGAA